UUUAGUGAGAGCGCCCUUAGUGUGCUCCAAAUUCCAAAGGUGCCCUUCGGCUCAAAACAACUGUGCACUUCAUGCUCUGUGGACAAACAGAACAAUCUGAUACAGGAAAGUUUUCUGCUACUGCAGAGUGAAGAAGGAACAUCUUGUGAAAUACCUAUCUGGAGGAACUGGUCAAGAAAGAUAAAAAUAGAUCCAGCACAGGGAGAAUAAAAGCCUUUCCCAGACAAUGUUCUACCCGUGUUGCUGAUAACCAUCUGUAGCAAAUGACAACAGUGUUUGAGCUAUGUAACUCCUGAGGUGAAAAAACGCCACCAAAGCACACCUUAAUAACUGGAGAGAAUUCAUCAAUUGUUUUAUUAAAACUAGCAAGUUUCAGUCAGUCACUGGUCUCCAGCUGUUACGAACCAGAGCGCCAAUUGGCAUAUAGUAGCUUGUAUAUUGCGAAUGUCACAAUAUCGUAUGAUUUCACAGAAUCUGUUUUUAAUUAUGCGGUCACUUUCUCUUUUUUUGCUCCUACUGAUAUCUCUAUUGCAAUAAUUUUGUUUUUCAUUAUGCUCUUUUCCCUGACAUGGCAGUUAAUCGGUUACUUAAGAAAAGCCAAAAAUACUGCUUAUUUGAAGGAUCAUUCACAAGAAAGAUACAUUUCGGUUUGGAGAAGAUGGAUAGAUUAUAUUCAGAAUAAAUAUGGGACUAAAAAGUUCCAUUUAC